rnacentral:rRNA from 1 species
CAGAGGGUGCGAGCGUUAAUCGGAAUUACUGGGCGUAAAGCGUGCGUAGACGGUUAUUUAAGUCGGGUGUGAAAGCCCCGGGCUCAACCUGGGAAUUGCAUUCGAGACUGAAUAGCUAGGGUACGGUAGAGGGAAGUGGAAUUUCCGGUGUAGCGGUGAGAUGCGUAGAUAUCGGAAGGAACAUCAGUGGCGAAAGCGACUUCCUGGACCAGUACCGACGUUCAGGCACGAAAGCGUGGGGAGCAAACAGGAUUAGAUACCCUGGUAGUCCACGCCAUAAACGAUGAGGACUAGACGUUGGAGGGGUAAGCCUUUCAGUGUCGUAGCUAACGCGCUAAGUCCUCCGCCUGGGGGAGUACGGCCGCAAGGUUG